GGUGAGUAACACGUGGAUAACCCACCUAUAAGACUGGGAUAACUUCGGGAAACCGGAGCUAAUACCGGAUAAUAUAUUGAACCGCAUGGUUCAAUAGUGAAAGACGGUUUUGCUGUCACUUAUAGAUGGAUCCGCGCCGCAUUAGCUAGUUGGUAAGGUAACGGCUUACCAAGGCAACGAUGCGUAGCCGACCUGAGAGGGUGAUCGGCCACACUGGAACUGAGACACGGUCCAG
rnacentral:rRNA from 1 species